GAUGAACGCUGGCGGCGUGCCUAAUACAUGCAAGUCGAGCGAACAGACGAGGAGCUGGGUCUUCUGACGUUAGCGGCGGACGGGUGAGUAAUACGUAGAUAACCUUUCUCUAAGGCUGGGCUAAAGUAGGGAAACCGGAAUUAAGACUGGAAGAUAUAUCGAACUGCAGGGGUCAGUAGUGAAAGAGGGGUUUGCGGUGGAUUCGAGAUGGAUCCGCGCGGCAUUGGCUGGGUGGUAGGGUAACGGCUUACCAAGGCAACGAUGCGUAGCCGACCUCGGCGCGUGAUCGGCCCCACUGGAGCUGAGACGCGGUCCAGGCUCCUACGGGAGGCCGCGAUAGCUAAUCUUCGGAAAUGGGCGAAAGCCUGACCGAGCGACGCCGCCUGAGUGCUGCAGGUCUUCGGAUCGUAUGACUCUGUUCUUGGUGAAGACCAAAUUUGUACGUGACUAUGCUCGUCUUGACGGUACCUAGUCAGAAAGCCCCGGCUAACUACGUG
rnacentral:rRNA from 1 species